rnacentral:rRNA from 1 species
UACGAAGGGGGCUAGCGUUGCUCGGAAUCACUGGGCGUAAAGCGCACGUAGGCGGCUUCUUAAGUCAGGGGUGAAAUCCUGGAGCUCAACUCCAGAACUGCCUUUGAUACUGAGGAGCUCGAGUUCGGGAGAGGUGAGUGGAACUCCGAGUGUAGAGGUGAAAUUCGUAGAUAUUCGGAAGAACACCAGUGGCGAAGGCGGCUCACUGGCCCGAUACUGACGCUGAGGUGCGAAAGCGUGGGGAGCAAACAGG